GUUUUAAUAAUUUAAUUUAAAAAUAUUGAUUUUGUAAAUCAAAAAUAAGAUAAAAUCUUUUAAAACU
rnacentral:tRNA from 1 species